rnacentral:rRNA from 1 species
UACGUAGGGUGCAAGCGUUGUCCGGAUUUAUUGGGCGUAAAGAGCGUGUAGGCGGCCAGGUAGGUCUGGUGUGAAAACUCGAGGCUCAGCCUCGAGAGGUCAUCGGAAACCAUCUGGCUAGAGUCCGGAAGAGGAGAGUGGAAUUCCCGGUGUAGCGGUGAAAUGCGCAGAUAUCGGGAAGAACACCUAUGGCGAAGGCAGCUCUCUGGGACGGUACUGACGCUGAGACGCGAAAGCGUGGGGAGCGAACAGG